rnacentral:sRNA from 1 species
CCCUAGCCCUGAUUGAAGUGGCAUCCUUUUUUGCCCCUAAAGGGCGAAAAAGAUAAAACGGAAAGCAGGUUUCUGC